rnacentral:rRNA from 1 species
GAGGAAGGCGGGCGGCGUGCCUAAUACAUGCAAGUCGAGCGAACGGACGAGAAGCUUGCUUUUCUGAUGUUAGCGGCGGACGGGUGAGUAACACGUGGAUAACCUACCUAUAAGACUGGGAUAACUUCGGGAAACCGGAGCUAAUACCGGAUAAUAUUUUGAACCGCAUGGUUCAAAAGUGAAAGACGGUCUUGCUGUCACUUAUAGAUGGAUCCGCGCUGCAUUAGCUAGUUGGUAAGGUAACGGCUUACCAAGGCAACGAUGCAUAGCCGACCUGAGAGGGUGAUCGGCCACACUGGAACUGAGACACGGUCCAGACUCCUACGGGAGGCAGCAGUAGGGAAUCUUCCGCAAUGGGCGAAAGCCUGACGGAGCAACGCCGCGUGAGUGAUGAAGGUCUUCGGAUCGUAAAACUCUGUUAUUAGGGAAGAACAUAUGUGUAAGUAACUGUGCACAUCUUGACGGUACCUAAUCAGAAAGCCACGGCUAACUACGUG